rnacentral:tRNA from 1 species
GGUCGUGUGGCCUAAUGGUGAAGGCGCUGGACUUCGGAUCCAGAGAUUGGGAGUUCAAGUCUCCCCACGAUCG